CCUUGACCCUUUCACAGGGAAACCCACCCCAGCAAUUCAAUCUUAAUGUAAAGAUAACCACAUUUUCUGUUUGUGGGUGUUUUUUGUUGUAAUCACUAACCCUCUUGUUUGAGAUUUGAUAAUGGAUCCUUUGCUUCCUAUAUAAUUUUUAUAUCUGAUGAUAGAGUGUCUAGUAAGUAUUUGAAUCCUCGUCACUAAGAGAAGUAUUACAUAAUGUUACUGAAAUCUGAUUCAGUGACAUUGUUGAAAAGUCUUUUGUAGUUGUCAAACCAUCUGGAACCCUUGAUCCACCAUGUAUAUCAUUGUUUUUGUGGAAAGUGCUUUUUAACUGCACUUGUCCUUGAACUUUGGAAUACAACAUAUAUAAAUUGGAGAAUAUGUAUUCACUUCAAUAAAGGUGGUAAAUUGCCUGUCUUCAGUUUUACUUAACUUUGGAUUUUGGUAGAUGAGGAAAGCAGAUGAGGGUUUCUUUAUACCAAGCUCCUUGUGUUGUUUCUAGGAUGUUAGUAUUAAUACCCAGCUGUACAUGAUUUCAUAAAAUUUGGUUCCUUUUUAUAACUCAAAUGCUGAUGUUUCUUUUCUUGGUAUUGAACAUAAUCCAAAGUAGAGAUGUUAUUACCCAAGUCAAGAAAGGAAGGGAGAAAAAGAAGAACUGACCCAAGUCAGUUUUCAAUCGCCUGAUUAUCUGGCUAUUUUGAUCUCUCUCUUAUUUAUAUUUUUAGCCAUUUUGCCUUCCUUUCCUCCAGAGGGUGCGGCCAGGAAAGGAUUCAGAGAAGCUUAAAAAUGGAAGAAGUUAAAACCCCUGCUAAAAUUUGAUGGAGGGAAGGCUACAAGUGGAGCAAGAAGAUUCUAUUACAGCUAAGAAUCAUCCGAGCAAACAGAGGAAAGGGGAGCAUCAAAAUUGUGCUGGAAGGAAAAUGGCUUUCAGGCUCUUGGAAGAGAGUUGCCCACUCUGAUCCUUUGGCUUUGAUCUCCAUGUCUCCAUUAGAACAAGUCCUUAUCAAGCAGAGACAAGAAGCAGGAGCAGCCUUGGCUAUGAUAUAGAAACAAGAGAGGAGGUAAUCCCUGAUGCAGUUAACCAGCUUCCUCUGGAGCUGCAGCUACUGCUGACCAGAGGAGACUCAGGCCCAGGACUUCCUGAAGGCAGCUGCUAUCGCCACUCAUCCAUAGAGAUCAUCACGUGGGCAGAGUGGAGACAAAGAAACACCAAGACCCCUGAAUCUUCUCAGACAGCAUCCUCUUCUCUGGGAGAAUGGUAGUUUCAUUCACAGAACAAAGAGAUCAGGGGGCAGGUGGUCUCUCAUUUAUGGCUGUGAAACCUUGAGGUCACUUUUGCCCCUUUCACACACGUUCCCUCUCCCUCACCGCCUAUCAUCUAAUGAGUUGCUAAGUCCCGCCAAGUUCACCUCACAGGGUCUCUCUAGCAUUUACCAAUCCUCUUCAUCCUCGCUGCCAUGGCAGAGCAUGAAAAUGGGAGAGGGGACACUGCCACUGUCAACCCCAGCUCUCUAACCAUGACCUUCUUCCUGUCUGUAUUAGUUUUCUAGGGUUCUUAUCACAAGUAUCACAAAUAAAUGCCUAAAAAAAACCAACAGAAAUUUAUUCUCUCACAGUUCUGGAGGCUAGAAGUCCAAAAUCAUAGUGUUAGCAGGGUGGGUUCCUUCUGUAGGCCUUAAAGAGAAUCUGUUUCAUGCCCCUCUCCAAGCUUCUGGUAGUUGCCAACAAUCCUUUGUAUUGCUUGGUUCUUAGACGCAGCACUCCAGUCUCUGUCCCUCUCUGUUUCUCCUCUCUGUGUUUAUCCCUGUCACUGUUUUCUUAUAAGGACUCCAGUCAUUGUAUUUAGGGCUCACCCUAAUGCAGUAUGACUUCAUUUUAACUAAUUACACCUGCAAAAAGCCUAUUUCCAAAUAAGGUUUCGGAUAGACAUGGACUUUUGGACGGCGCUGUUCGACUCAGUACACAGCUUUUUCAGCUCACAAUCUCACUCCCACACUUGCUCUUUCCCCUUUUGGGGUCCUCUAGUCUCACCGCCUCCCUUUUUUCAGUGUGUGAGUCCUCUGUUGACCACUGACAUUUCUAUCCAGUCUUGACCAUAACGUUGAUGACCUGAACCUUACCACCCUUUCCUCUGACAUUCCAUGGGAUACACAGGCUUCUGUCAUUUGCUAACGGAAGCUGCAUUCCUGUGAGGAUUGGAGCCAAAACAAAACCUUUGUCUCCAAUCGCAGCCGGGCCCUCCAUGCCAGUCAGCAGUUUUCAAUGACUCUUGCAAAGCUUCUCCUCUCUUUCUGAGCCCCACCUGACCAACCCUCCUUUAGUCUCAGGAGCUGACUCCCUACUUCAUGAAGAAAAUUGAGCCACAAAGCUUCAAGGACCUGAACAACCUGUUCCCCCUCCAUUUACCUACAUAUAUAACUAACCUCACCUCUUCUCCCUGUGUCACAGAGUGAGCUGACCCCUCUGCUCAGGCCGGUCCAGUCUCCUCACAGCCCCUCUGGGAGCAGAGCUUCAACCAUCUCAGCUCUGUCUCUCAACCUGCACCCAUGCUCAAGUCACUCCAGUGUUAAAACAUGCCCUCCUCUGAUCCUGUUUCCUUCUAGCUAAUGCCUCCGUCCUUCCCAGCCUUCCUCCCUCUCUCCCUCUUUCCCUGUCUUCCUCGUUCCCUCCCUUUCUCUUUC